GAUGAACGCUGGCGGCGUGCCUAAUACAUGCAAGUCGAGCGAACAGACGAGGAGCUUGCUCCUCUGACGUUAGCGGCGGACGGGUGAGUAACACGUGGAUAACCUACCUAUAAGACUGGGAUAACUUCGGGAAACCGGAGCUAAUACCGGAUAAUAUAUUGAACCGCAUGGUUCAAUAGUGAAAGACGGUUUUGCUGUCACUUAUAGAUGGAUCCGCGCCGCAUUAGCUAGUUGGUAAGGUAACGGCUUACCAAGGCGACGAUGCGUAGCCGACCGGAGAGGGUGAUCGGCCACACUGGAACUGAGACACGGUCCAGACUCCUACGGGAGGCAGCAGUAGGGAAUCGUCCGCAAUGGGCGAAAGCCUGACGGAGCAACGCCGCGUGAGUGAUGAAGGUCUUCGGAUCGUAAAGCUCUGUUAUUAGGGAAGAACAAAUGUGUAAGUAACUAUGCACGUCUUGACGGUACCUAAUCAGAAAGCCACGGCUAACUACGUG
rnacentral:rRNA from 1 species